UGCAAGUCGUACGAAGAUCUUUGAUCUUAGUGGCGGACGGGUGAGUAACACGUGAGAAUCUGCCCUUAGGAAGAGGAUAACAGCUGGAAACGGUUGCUAAUACUCUAUACGCCGAGAGGUAAAAGGAUUUAUCCACCUUAGGAAGAGCUCGCGUCUGAUUAGCUUGUUGGUAAGGUAAUGGCUUACCAAGGCGACGAUCAGUAGCUGGUUUGAGAGGACGACCAGCCACACUGGGACUGAGACACGGCCCAGACUCCUACGGGAGGCAGCAGUGGGGAAUUUUCCGCAAUGGGCGAAAGCCUGACGGAGCAAUACCGCGUGAGGGAUGAAAGCCUGUGGGUUGUAAACCUCUUUUCUCAAGGAAGAAGUUCUGACGGUACUUGAGGAAUAAGCAUCGGCUAACUCUGUGCCAGCAGCCGCGGUAAUACAGAGGAUGCAAGCGUUAUCCGGAAUCACUGGGCAUAAAGCGUCUGUAGGUCGCCUACCAAGUCUGCUGUUAAAGAUCAGGGCCUAACCCUGGGAAAGCAGUGGAAACUAGUAGGCUUGAGUAUGGUAGAGGUAGAGGGAAUUCCUGGUGUAGCGGUGAAAUGCGUAGAUAUUAGGAAGAACACCAAUGGCGAAAGCACUCUACUGGGCCAUAACUGACACUGAGAGACGACAGCUAGGGGAGCAAAUGGGAUUAGAUACCCCAGUAGUCCUA
rnacentral:rRNA from 1 species